rnacentral:rRNA from 1 species
UACAGAGGCCUCAAGCGUUGUUCGGAUUCAUUGGGCGUAAAGGGUGCGUAGGCGGCGCGGUAAGUCGGGUGUGAAAUCUCGGAGCUUAACUCCGAAACUGCAUUCGAUACUGCCGUGCUUGAGGACUGGAGAGGAGACUGGAAUUUACGGUGUAGCGGUGAAAUGCGUAGAUAUCGUAAGGAAGACCAGUGGCGAAGGCGGGUCUCUGGACAGUUCCUGACGCUGAGGCACGAAGGUCAGGGGAGCAAACGGG